UCUGGCGAAGUUGUUCGAAGCAUUUGGAGACGAAAGUUAUGGCCGAAAUUGCUCCAUUUAUCUCGCCUUUGAAGCGAAAGUCUGAUUAGCUUUCUCUGCUACACUUAUUGGUGAAACGAACAGGUAAAAUACUCUUUAUUUCAUGUUUAUUUGUGUAUUUAUUCGAGCUGACUUACGAGACGAGUUAAACACGUGGGCGAAUUUGCCGUUCACGUUUAACUUCGAUUUGGUGAAAUUCCUGCUCAAAUAUCAAGCGUAUUUCGUUGAAAGAAGCUUUAAAAACGUUCGUAUAUAGCUAACGUUGCUUAUGUUUUAUUUUAGAUGGAGUUUUUACGAGUUAAAACCAGUUUAAACGUCGACGAAAGCUGCGUACAAAAUAUGCAAUGCCACGUCUGAAAUUCCUCAAAUU